CUGAGUUACACUGUCACUUGAGAAGUAUUACCUUUAGUAGUGAUUGUUUGGUUUGUUUGUUUGCCUUUAGAGACAGACUCUCCCUUUGAUACUCAGGCUGGCCUCGAAUUCCUGAGCUCAAACGAUCCUCCUGCCUCAGCCUCCUAGAAGCUGGGACUGCAAUAAUCACUUUGAUUGGUACACCCCGAUCUUUGGAGGAAGUCUGCAACAAAGCCUCGUGUAAGUCAGUCACAGUGUUAAACUGAACCCAGGAGAUUUCACAGUAUAGAGAAAGCCCAUAUCAAGUCCAAGCAACAAUGAACAAAUAUAGUCAGAGCGUGUGGGAGCAGCUACCUAUAAAGAUUCUGUCCUCCCAGAGAACAUCCCAGGCAUGGAAGUGACACACUGCCUACCAACUGCCUACAUUUGAUUUUAUGAACAUCCUCUUUUCUGAUGAAAAACUUCCAUUUGUGCUUUACGCAAGGAUGCUCCCUUUCCAAACAGGCAAAAGAGUAAAAACGAUCCCCAUGACUUAUGAAAGACAGCUUUUUAAAGGU